CUAUUACAAGGAAAAGUCCUACUUGACUACUUGAGUAAAAGCAAGUCGGCCAACAGGGAAAAUGGGAGACACGUUGCAGAAAUGUGCACUAUGCUGACUGCAAUGUCUAGUACUUGAUGCAUCAGGUCUGUCCAUAUAUCUGUCCAAAAUCUGUAUCAUCAUGAUCAAUUAAAUUGUUUCAACAAUGAACUUGCACAUAUCACCAAACAAAUUAAUUAUGAACAGCAUAACGUCUUCACAAUUUACAAAUUUUGUCCAAAAAAUAAUUCAGAACUUUUCAUGCUAUUCACAUCUUUUGCACGCAAAAAUCUUUAUUAUUAAAAAAAAACUAUGACUAUAAUUAUUCAUAUUUAGUGAAGUCAUUAAAUAUGAAUAAGAUACACCUUAGUGGGAAACAAGAAAACAAUAAAGUUGGGACUCACAUCGCGCCUUGCAGAGACAAUCUACAAACUGGUAUCAAAUUUUUUACUUUUAAACAAUUAACUGUCAGUUCACGAUUCAAGUUAAGUACAAGUACCUCUGCUCAGUUCUUGAGUUGUAGAGCAACUAAACAGCUAUUUUAUUUUCUCCAAAUACCACAUUUAUUUUUACAUUUCUACUUUUAUUCAUUAAAGUUAUGUCUAAUGUCUUCCCUUUGACUUGCUUACAUUGUUAUUGCGUUCUCUUUGUACCAUGUAAAGGACCUUUGAGUACUCUUUAAAGGGCCAAAUGAACAAAGGUAUGGUUUUAAUGCAAUAGAGUUGUGAUGUCCCAUGAAACAGUUGUGCCCAUUGCACUUUUAGUUUAGAGAUUCUUAAGAAAAGUACCUAAAGCAAUUAUGAAAAUGUGACAUUUAUCAUCUCCAGAGAAACAAACACAAAGAAGCUACUAUGAGUAAACUGCCGCACUGGAGUUCAUGCAUAAGGAAGUGUUUAAUAGUUUCCUGUUUCACCUGCUUACACAGGUACAUAACAAAAUGAUCAAAUUCCAUAGAAAAUCCAACGGUCCUUUGUCUGUUUGGCACCACUUGCCAUUGUAAGAGGUGAAGGCAGGGUUAGAUUACUGCUACAUGAGUCGUCCACUGAGACUCCCAGAAAUGUUUCCUUAAUCCACACCACCAACAUGACCUACAAAACAUUUCCACAAUCCUGAAGGGAACUCUACACUGAACUUCUUGUAAAUUGUGGUUAGGCUGAAUCUCCAGUCCUGUGAAAAUGUUGAGCUGUUUUUUUUCACCUGAUAUUUGUGGUGAGAAAAAUUGCAAUGACAAAACUCUCAAAUGUCAGGUUGAGACUACAGCAGUUCAGACAUAAGAUACAUCUGUUUGCUUUUGCAACGUUUGCAUGCCUACAAUUGUCACAGCAUCUUUAAAGAACAUGAUAAAUUGCCACAAGACAUUAGACGGAUACGAAUCUGUGUUUUGUCCCAGACAUUCUUUGUCUGCAGUGAGUGCAGCAGAAACCUCAAGGCAUCGGUCCAAGGACGGGUAUGAGAUGUCACAUCACACGGCGCUACUUCUACACACACACGUCGUGUAACUUUAGCAGCUUUGUCAGGCUGCAGCUCAAAGCGCUACUUGACUUAGCCCCGGUAAGGGCCAUGAUGUCAAUAACUUAACUUGAACUAGGUUACAACAAUUGCCUUCCAAACCUUGCAGAAUAGCCAGAGAAAGAAUAUUCCGAUACCAGAGCUGACAUCCACCACAAUCAAAUAAAAUAAUGUAACUAGGUUUACAAUGUGACAAGAAACGUGAUGAGUUCAGUCAUGAAGAUCUGCUGCACACUCAGACUUUUAGUCCGCUCAAACACGACUUUCUCCACUCUAGCUGCACAUUCUCAGUUCCAGCGGUCACUCUCAGAAGCCUCAUACUGCAGCAUCAACAUCAACAGUCAAGUUUCAAGCUUAAUUUAGUGAGAGAAGCAGAAAGAAAAUGUAGGGUUUCAGGUUGAAUCCUGAAUUGCACCUGAAAAUCUAUUAUCUGUUAAACGUUUAUUGACGGGUCAUAACUGCAAUUCUUAAAAGACAAUUCAGUGUUUGUGACGAGGCCGUUCAUUCCUCUUAAAAGAACUCAGGUGCUUGUCAUUUUUAGAACUCCUGAUUUGCCUAUGAGUACAUUUUAAAACCUUUUAAGAGAGAUUGAAUUGAAUUAGGUAUUCAAGUAUUGGUAAUAGGAAAAGCAAGUGAAUUAAGACGAUUUGAAGAAUUCUCUUUCCCAAAGUCAGUAAAAGUAAUUUGGGGACUAAUAACAUUGAGCAAAAGUUCUUAACUCUAUCAUAACUGGGCACGACAGCAAAGUCUUGGGGUGUCCAAGGUAAACUGUAUAACGAGACCCACUGGCUGUGAAUAAGUGUAUGUGUGAAUAAGAAGGAGAGAGCUGUCAGUUCCCCAAAUUUGUGCUUUUGCUCAAGAUCCCAUUGUUUAAAUGGGAACAUUAUCCUAUCUCAAAGAAGACAUUUUAAUGCAUAAACUGUGUAUGACUGGGGAAAGUUGUGGAAGACGAUUAAGUCAGAAGGUUCCAUGUGUUCCUAUUUAUGAGUCAUUCCAUGGAAUCUACUGAAAUUCUGAAGUCAUUCUAGAAUGUAUUUUCCAUAUACUGCACAACUCUGUUGGCAGACAGACCUAUGAAGACUGAAGACACUACUGGAAGCGGAAGAAGACCCCUUAUCAAGAUACACCAACAUCACAAGUAGCCUUUUGCGAUUAGUUCAGGUUUCGUGCUUGUUUAUUACGGACAUAGCAGUGGGAAGACACAGACAGAAAAUGUUAUUAUCGAGGGCAACAAAUGGAAAAGGAAAUGAUCACAGACAGAAGGAACGUCAGGAAAGUCUCUCCUCGAUGCCAGUGGUGCCGGUUCUGACUUUGUGGGCUUGCUUGAGGUUUACCUGUUGAGGAAAGUCGAUGUUACCUGAAAGGUAAGGAUCAGCGUGCUGAAUAUUGACUUUUGUAAUAUUGUACCUGCUAAAGUAGCCUUAUUUUUUGGCUCUAUUCUGCAUAUGAAUAUAUAUGCCACAAUCCAAAACUCACACUAAUGUAUGAGGGGUCGUUGAGGACUUAACUACUGAAAUACUCACUAAUGAAACACUCACACAUACAUACUGUGUAAACAGUGGCGUGUAGCGUGUGUUUUAAACUUGUUGCUCUCUCCCUCCCCCUUCAGGUGCUGAGUCUGCGGUGGUGGAUUGAUGUCCCAGGCGGUGGUGUCCCUUUUAUGUUAUGUUUUUUUGAAUGUUUAGUGACACGAGGCGUGAUGUAUGGGUGAGGGCAGUUUAAAUAUUAUAAUGUUGCCAGACAACGCCACCCUGGGAAUUGUUUUGAAUCUUCAACCAAACAAAACUAAAGGGAGGCAAUCAGCUUCGUCGCAAAUGAGGCAGAGACGCAAUUUACAGUACAAAAUGUAAUUUUAUUAAAUUCACAGUUUAAAAACAAGGGUAAAAAACCCUCACUCUGGGACAAGCAACGGGGGAACCAAUCAGGGCUGAGAUUUACGAUGAUGGACUGUCCAAAGAAAAGGGGACGCAAGGAGCACCAUACGUGAAACAACUAAAAGUGAAGCAACUCAAACAACAUGCAAAACAUAACAGGGACACCACCACCUGGGACACCAAUCCACCACCGCAGACUCAGCACCUGAAGGGGGGGGGAGACGAGAGCAACAGGUUUAAAAUAAAAGAAACUAAACCAAAACAGAAAAAUAAUUAGAUUUAACCAAAAACUAUACUAAUAAAACACCGACAAACGGCUUAACCAAAGCUUAACCAAAUCACAAAAUAAAGAAAAUAACAAAUUGACAGACAAAUAACAGAGGAUCCAAACAAAUAAGUAAGGCCUGUCUCUCGUACAGUUAAAAUGUGUCUUAACCCAGUCAGGAGGCCAAAACAAAGCAAACCCAAACAGGGUAAAUACAGCUAAAAGCAAGGCAGACCCAAACGGGAUUACUUUAACCAACACGAGGCAAAGCAGUUUAGCCAAAAGGAAAAGAAACAGGGAUACUUUAACCAAGAGAAGGCAAGCAACUUGGCCAAAAGGCAAAGCAAAGCAAACCCGAACAGGGUUAGUUUAACCAAGGUGCUCUGAGGCCGCCUUUGUACAGCAUUGUCAUGCAGCGAUUGGCUGUGAUCCAGACCCAGCUGAAAGUUAUUAGGACCAAUCACUGCAUACUGCCACAAUCUUCCCCCUGUAAUUAAAUUGUCGUCCCGACGAUGGAAUAACCACAAGCUAAACUUCAACUCCAAGGCCUAAAUAGUGCGGCAACUGCGUUAGACACAGGGCCAGGAUGAUUAACACCUACUCGUUCAGCCCCCCCUGUAGGCUGUGGUAGGCGAUGGAUGUUAGAGUGAUGGCCUGCAGUUGACCUAGUGGUCCGGCUGACAGCAGCACCUUCCAGAACAGGGAAAGAAGCUGUCCUUGUUGCCGGAACCACCGACGAAGGUGGCACAAAGGAGACCGGGUCAGGCGGUGGAACCAGCUGGCGAGGGGUGGUUUGAGCCACUGCUUCUGCCUGAAAGGUAGACAAUGGGUUCUCCGGCCCCAAUACUACCCAAUCUCCAUCACAAGACAGCUCAUCCUCUGACUGAGGUGGCGCAGGAGGAGAGGAAACGCUGGCACUGCCUGGUGAACUAACCCCCAACACCGCCUUCAGCAAAGAUCAUGAACCUGCCUGGCUCUGGUUGGGUCAUCCCUACGGGCAAUGGUGUAAACCGAUCCCCCUUUCCUCGGUGCCUUUAAAACACAAUACAAAACUGAGGCCCACUGAUCCUGGAUCUUGUGGCGACCCCGUACACCAACAUUUCGCAACCAUACCAACUGGCCCUCCUUCAAGGGAACAUCUCAGACACGUUGGGCGCGAUUUGUGUAGAAUGUUGAGGAAAAUACUGAAUUUAAUCCAUUUUGAAAUAAGGCUGUAACAUAACAAAAUGUGUAAAAAGUGAAGCGAUGUGAAUACUUUCCGGAUGCACUGUACGUCAUAUGACGUAGCCCCCGAAGAUACCAAUGUGACAGUUUAGAAUAAUAUUAAUAUAGCCAGCUAUUGGUAAUAGAAAGGCAGAAAGACAUGUUGUGUGCUCUUACAUAUCUAUCUAUAUAGCUUACGUAAGUAAAUGCCAAUCACAGUUAAGUAAGUAUAUAGUUGUCUCUAUACUUUUGACUGUGACUAAACCAAUUACAACUAACAACACUCGUACUCUUAAGGACCGCAUAGCAUCUUCACAUAUUGUCAAAAUAUGAAAAGAAAACGGCAACAGUCGAGGCAUCAUUGCUGCAAAGUCGAGGCAGCUGUUGCGAAGUUGUGGCAGUCACGACUCGCCACGGCAACUCAACCUGCAGAUAACAGUCGUACUUAAACUGUAUUAUACUGUCACAUAUUGUAUACAUAUGAAUACUAAAAUUAACAGAAACUGCCGCGGCACCUCUCCUAAACAAUCGCAGCACCCUCACCCUCCGUGGCACCUCUC
ensembl:lncRNA